rnacentral:rRNA from 1 species
UCGUACCUUGUUGCUUCGGCGGGCCCGCCGUUUCGACGGCCGCCGGGGAGGCCUUGCGCCCCCGGGCCCGCGCCCGCCGAAGACCCCAACAUGAACGCUGUUCUGAAAGUAUGCAGUCUGAGUUGAUUAUCGUAAUCAGUUAAAACUUUCAACAACGGAUCUCUUGGUUCCGGCAUCGAUGAAGAACGCAGCGAAAUGCGAUAAGUAAUGUGAAUUGCAGAAUUCAGUGAAUCAUCGAGUCUUUGAACGCACAUUGCGCCCCCUGGUAUUCCGGGGGGCAUGCCUGUCCGAGCGUCAUUGCUGCCCUCAAGCACGGCUUGUGUGUUGGGCCCCCGUCCCCCUCUCCCGGGGGACGGGCCCGAAAGGCAGCGGCGGCACCGCGUCCGGUCCUCGAGCGUAUGGGGCUUUGUCACCUGCUCUGUAGGCCCGGCCGGCGCCAGCCGACACCCAACUUUAUUUUUCUAAGGUUGACCUCGGAUCAGGUAGGGAUACCCGCUGAACUUAAGCAU